GACAGAGCACAUAGAAUGAGCAUAAUCAUAUCAUUUCAGCCACCAAUUAUCACUUCCCACGGUACAAUUGCAUCAUAAUCCCACAUAUCACAAUCUGUGCAUAAAGAAAAGAUCCAAAAUAGGGCAGAUCUCACCAAAAAGAACUCAGGAAGCAGGAUCCGCAUCAUAGAUUCAACAGCAUCGCUCAUGUUUCGAUGCUCCCAAUUUUUCUCACAAAAAAAGAAAGAAUCAGGAUAAGCAUCGGACAAGUCCGGCGAACCAGGGUAAGCAUCGGAGUUUGGCGAUUUACCUUCAAAGGCUAAAUCGCCUUGAAAAUGUUCU
rnacentral:lncRNA from 1 species